CGACCAGGGGGCUUUUUCCCCAUAAAUGAGUUUACAAUUCACCGCCUAAAUUCAGCCACCUGACC
rnacentral:tRNA from 1 species